GUUUUCUAGUUGAAUCGUAUGCUGAUUUAAGAAUCAAACUGUUAUACAUACUCUAGACCUAUUUUUUUCGCGAGCGAUUUAUUUUCUAGGCUUUCGCGAGUAGAAAAAUAACGCAAAUUUAAAUCGUCGCGAAUAGGUAUAACUUGGAUCUUUCCUUAUUUAACUACCGCAAGUAAAUAAGAAACUCGCGAAAUUAAAUCGCCGCGAAGUGGAUGAGUUAUAUAAACGCGAAAUAAAGUAUCCGCGAAAAUAAUUGGUUUACAGUAACAAAAUGAAACAAAACCUUCAUCGCGAAAAAAAAAUA
rnacentral:lncRNA from 1 species